rnacentral:rRNA from 1 species
AUUGAACGCUGGCGGCAGGCCUAACACAUGCAAGUCGAGCGGAUGAAGGGAGCUUGCUCCUGUAUUCAGCGGCGGACGGGUGAGUAAUGCCUAGGAAUCUGCCUGGUAGUGGGGGAUAACGUCCGGAAACGGGCGCUAAUACCGCAUACGUCCUGAGGGAGAAAGUGGGGGAUCUUCGGACCUCACGCUAUCAGAUGAGCCUAGGUCGGAUUAGCUAGUUGGUGGGGUAAAGGCCUACCAAGGCGACGAUCCGUAACUGGUCUGAGAGGAUGAUCAGUCACACUGGAACUGAGACACGGUCCAGACUCCUACGGGAGGCAGCAGUGGGGAAUAUUGGACAAUGGGCGAAAGCCUGAUCCAGCCAUGCCGCGUGUGUGAAGAAGGUCUUCGGAUUGUAAAGCACUUUAAGUUGGGAGGAAGGGCAGUAAGUUAAUACCUUGCUGUUUUGACGGUACCAACAGAAUAAGCACCGGCUAACUUCGUG